rnacentral:tRNA from 1 species
GCGGGUGUCGUAUAAUGGCUAUUACCUCAGCCCUCCAAGCUGAUGAUACGGGUUCGAUUCCCGUCACCCGCUCCA